rnacentral:rRNA from 1 species
GGACCCGCACAAGCGGUGGAGCAUGUGGUUUAAUUCGAUGCAACGCGAAAAACCUUACCUACAAUUGACAUACUGCGAAUUUUCUAGAGAUAGAUUAGUGCCUUCGGGAACGCAGAUACAGGUGCUGCAUGGCUGUCGUCAGCUCGUGUCGUGAGAUGUUGGGUUAAGUCCUAUAACGAGCGCAACCCUUACCCUUAUUUGCCAGCGGUUCGGCCGGGAACUAUAAGGGAACUGCCGGUAAUAAGCCGGAGGAAGGUGGGGACGACGUCAAGUCAUCAUGGCCCUUACAUGUAGGGCUACACACGUGCUACAAUGGGAGAUACAAACGGUUGCCAAAGCGCGAGCUGGAGCUAAUCCGAGAAAGUCUCUCGUAGUCCGAAUUGCAGUCUGCAACUCGACUCCGUGAAGUCGGAAUUGCUAGUAAUCG